UGCUGGAAUGGCUCAGCGGGUAAGUGUGCCGGUCUCAGAAAUUCUGAAAUUGUGGGUUCAAGCCCCACUCCUGCAA
rnacentral:tRNA from 1 species